rnacentral:misc_RNA from 1 species
CUCAUGUAAUGUCCUUCGCUC